rnacentral:lncRNA from 1 species
GUGAAUCACAGGAGGGCGGCACAGUGUGCACUGGGAGGGAAGGCCAUGGAGUUCCUGCUGAACCACUCAACAGCUUAAAAUACAACCAGCCCCUCUCCCUACUGGGCCAGCUGCCGGGGAGGGCUGAAAUCCUAGCCUCUCCCCCAGCUGGGGCACUGCAGCCAGGCCAGGAGCCGUGGUGCACCAACUGGUGGGCAGCAGGAGAGCGCGUGGAGAGGGGCCACGGUGAAGAGCAAUCCCAAGCCACAAGCUGAGGGACUGCCUGCAGCAGAGGAAGACUCGGGCAAGCCAGGAAGCUUAAGGAAGCCAGAGACCCUGAGGAUGAACUGACUAGAGGUGUUCGACGGCCACUGUCCGUUAUGCCCGCCCCUGGCUCCACCCAAGCCGGCAGGCAGGUGAGUCCACGCAUGCGCCGCAUGCGCUCAGCUUGCCAGAAUAAUCCCCUUUGACUGUGAAAAACCAACGCACAUUCCAGACACUGGAAAUCUGGAGAGCCGGCCACAUUAGGACAAACAUCUUUGCCAGGAACUCGCUGAGCAUAUAUAAGGUCUAGUUUUAACCCCCAGCGUAAAGGAAAGACAGCAAGGGAAUGAAUAUGUAAAGCAAAUAGGUCUACAUGAGGUGACAUCACAUCACAAAACAUCACACGGGACAGACACAGGUGUGGUGGAGGCAGGACGUACAUGAAGUUUUCUAUACAAAGUGGUCAAGAAAAACCUCCCUAGUCAUACUUCAGAAGGCACAGGCAGGUGGAUCUGAGUGUGAGGCUAGCCUGGCCUACGUGAGUGUCGGGCUGGCCAGGCUAGAGUACUUAGUGAAAUCCUGUCAGGAGAGGGAGGGUGAGGAUGCAGCUCCCUGAUGGGGCUCUCGGUCAAGCCCUGAAAGAAUCAAGGCUGAAGGUGGCCAUCCUCACAGAAGAGCAGCUGUGCCAAGGGCCUCAAGUUAAGCGGAACAGAUGCUCACAGAUGUGUGGUCUGGAGUCAUAUGCAUGAGAGGAAGAAGAUGAGGUGGAAAUGCAGAGGUGACAUGGCAGACGGUCCUAAGGGCUGGGUGAGGAGAGGCCUGACUUGAGUUUAAAUCUGCUUGCUUUGCUGUGACUGCUGACAUGGCGUUUCACUGUGUAGUCAGUCCUCUCUGACCUGGAACUCAUUCCAUGCCUGUAGUGGUCUGCAGCCUCCUGGGUGCUCGGAUUAAAGGCGAGCACCACCAACCCCAGCUGUGGCUUGAAUUCUUAAGGGAUCCUUUUGAGAGAAUUAGUAGUCUGGAAGCAGAGGCCUGCCAGAGGCUGUGAAAAUAAUUCCCUCCAAACAGCAGCAGCGCUAGACACGGGAGCACACAGGAGGGUACUGGCAGUACACCGGAAAGGUCAGACUGAGACCCUCCAUCCAUCCAUCCCAUUAAACACCUACCUGGAAGCUAGACACCCCAGCACUGAGAGGUUGAAACAAGAGGAUCUCAAGUUCAGGCCAGCCUGGGCUACAUGGCAAAAACUUUAUCUCAAAAAUAAAGAUACACCUGGAUCUGGAUGGGGCUCAGAAUGCGGUCCUGUAGGUUUUGCCUAGAAGACUCAAUGCGCGCACACACACACAAUUACAUUUUAAAAUACACACAUAUAUUAUACUGUUUAUUAUCACUAUCUCCUGCUUAAGGAGUAAUAGGAAUCACCUCUACUGUACUAAAAAUUUUAUUUACAAUGAUGGGAUUCUAUUAGUCUAUAACAUCUGAACAAUAAGUUAAUAACAAAAUAUCAUUUUUUUUAAUUACAAUAAGAAAGGCAGGAAUGGGUGGGAUGUGGAUACUUCAGGGGGCCAAGGCAGCAGCAGUACUGGCUCCUAGAGAAGCUGCUGGCUGCUGUGACAGCAGGUGUAACAGGUGACAGCUGCCAUGACAGCAGGUGCUACAGGUGACAGCUGCCAUGACAGCAGGUGCAACAGGUGACAGCUGCCAUGACAGCAGGUGCAACAAGUGACAGCUGCCAUGACAGCAGGUGCUGCAGGUGACAGCUGCAGUAACAGCAGGCACAACAGGUGACAGCUGUCUGCCUACCUGCUGAACAGCACACCUGAAGGCCAGCCGAUCCUGCUGACCAAAUGGAGACUUCCUGUGAGUGUGAGACAGGAUCUGUCACAUACAGACCUUCCAGGGAUAGAAGAUUCAGAAGGUGGCAGGAGGGACACAGGAGGGAUACAGGCCCUUGUACUCCCCAGGGCUAAGUGGAAAAGGCUCCGCUUGCAACAAAAACUAUGCCCAGCUUCUAAGCUAUUUAUCUUGGAAGCAAGGCAGGGCGAGGCUGAAAAUAAGCAGUGGCCCUGUGCCUUUCCAAAUGCAAUGGUUCUGUGAGAGCCCCAGAGGACGUAAAAUAGGCUGCCCUCUGACAGUUACACAUUAGGCCAGAUCAACAGGUAAGAGAGUUUCAUCAUCCCCGGCAUAAAGUCCACAGGUCCUCAGGGAAGCUAGAGAAUCAUGCCCUGCCCAGCCAGCCUGUCUAACAUGGAACUCCCAGAACAAGGAAGGCUGGGCUCCAGGUAGUGUCUGCUGUCUGAGCAGGGCUGUGAGGACCCGGUCAGGGAUGAGGGCAAUCCCAAACCUGGCCAAGGCACUGCAGAGAGCUUGGCCAGCAGCCAUCCAUCUGGCAGGACAUUAAUACUCCACAGUACAUAACAAGCUCAAACUCUUAAAACUAGCAGUCAUCCAGUCAACACAUAGGCAAACAGGGUUUCUCAAAAGUAUGAAUGGCCAAGAAAAACAAAAGGAAAAUAGGCAGGUGUGGUGGCGCACACUUUUAAUCCCAGCGCUCAGCAGGCAGAGGCAGGAGGAUCUCUGUGAGUUCGAGACCAGCCUGCUGGGGUUACAUAGAGAAUUCCAGGCCUGUAAGGGCUUCACAGUGAGACCCUGUCUC